UUCUCUCUAAAGAAAAUGAAAGAGGGAAUACUCCCCUCCAUUUGGCAGCUUCAUUGGGAAACAUUGAGAUGUGCAAAUGCAUCACCGGUGAGUAUAAACAACUAUUGUGUAAUGACCGAGUAUUUUAUGACACGUUAGCAUUUUUAGUUUGAAAAGUCUUAUUUUGUGUGAUGGUUGAAAAGUCAAAAAGAAAAGUAUUUGGAGAACACGUGUCAAUUUCAGAUUGGUGAAUUUCAUUUUAUUGUGUCGGUCAAUUAGAUGAGUUGAAAUUUUAUGUCAUGUCAGCCUUAGGGUAGAAAUUUUUUUAAGAUUUUAGAAAUUGAAAACUUCCGGAAACGAAAAACGAAAACGAAAAAAAAAAAGAAUUAAUUAAAAAUUAAUUAGAAUUAAUUAAGAAAAAAUUAAAUUAAAUUGAUGAAUAAUAAAAUUGAGAAAAUUAGUUUUGGAUUGGUGUUAAUAAAUAAAUUUGUGUGUUAAAAAAAUGAAUUGGAAAUCAAAUAAAACAAAUAGAAUAAACAAAAGAAAAGUAAAAUAAAAGAAAAGAAAUGAAAAUAUUCAAUGGGCUAUUAAACUUGGGCCAUGUAAAGGUAGUAUGGAUUGUUAAAAUGAAAUGAAAUGGAAUUGGGCCUUUGGUUUUGGGCUUAAGUGGCUGGUGAAAUUUUUUAAAGAAAAAAAAAAAGGGGGAAAAGGGGGAGAAUUAGAAACUGGCAGCACGCGGAGAGAGAGAGAAGGGCACUAUGCAGAAAUUUGGUCACUCGUCGGAUCUUUGACCGGCCGUUUGGACGGCCAAACGACCUCCGUUUCAGCCCAAAUUCGGAGGAAGUGCUCUAUUCGACUAGAGGAACAAGUCUAUGGUGGCUAAUUUCAUUUUUAACGAUCAACUUCUCAGAUUUGUGGUAGGGGAAAACUAACCCUAAAACUCAAAUUUAAUGUAUUUUUCAUUGGAAAAAAAUUUAUAAAUCUGAUAAUUAUGAGUUAAGUAGAUAAUUUUGAUGUUGUGUGAAUUUUCUGGAAUGAUUUGGGAUUUUUCUAGAGUUUUUUUGUAAUUUCCGGAAUUCUUUGCAAUUGAUAAUUAAUCAUUUUAGGUUGUUAAAAAUUAUUAGAAAUAUAGAAAAAUUCCGGAAUUAGGGCAAGAAUUCAAAUCUAGUGAUUUAUGAAUUUUUGAAAAUUGAUUAGAAUAUUUGCGGUAAUUUUAUUGUGAAAAAUUAGUUAUUUUCAAAUAUUGGGAAUUAUUAAAAUUAUUGAAAAAUUCUGAAAUUGUGAUAUAAAUUCAAGUAUAUUGAUGUGUGAAUUUCUGAAAAUUUGUUGGUGUAUUUUCGGGAAUUCACACAUCAAUAUACUUGAAUUUAUAUUACAAUUUCAGAAUUUUUCAAUAAUUUUAAUAAUUCCCAAUAUUUGAAAAUAACUAAUUUUCCACAAUAAAAUUACCGCAAAUAUUCCAAUCAAUUUUCAAAAAUUCAUAAAUCACUAGAUUUGAAUUCUUACCCUAAUUCCGGAAUUUUCCUAUAUUUCUAAUAAUUUUUAACAACCUAAAAUGAUUAAUUAUCAAUUGCAAAGAAUUCCAGAAAUUACAAAAAACUCCAGAAAAAUCCCAAAUCAUUCCAGAAAAUUCACACAGCAUCAAAAUUAUCUACUUAACUCAUAAUUAUCAGAUUUAUAAAUUUUUUUCCAAUGAAAAAUACAUUAAAUUUGAGUUUUAGGGUUAGUUUUCCCCUACCACAAAUCUAAGAAGUUGACUGUUAAAAAUGAAAUCAGCCAUUGUAGACUUGUUCCUCUAGUCGAAUAGAGCACUUCCUCCGAAUUUGGGCUGAAACGGAGGUCGUUUGGCCUUCCAAACGGCCGGUCAAAGAUUCGACGAGUAACCAAAUUUCUGCACGGUGCCCUUCUCUCUCUCUCUCUCUGCGUGCUGCCAGUUUCUAAUUCUCCCCCUUUUCCCCUUUUUUUUCUUUAAAAAAUUUCACCAGCCACUUAAGCCCAAAACCAAAAGCCCAAAAGUUUACCUCUGGAAGACUCCGAAUGGAGAGUAUAUUUGGGUGCGGACGCGUAUCCUUCGGUGAAAUCCCGAGAACGAUAAUGCAUUGUAUGACUGUGUGUCACACAUUCAUAUGUAUUCAUUUAAUGAUUGGAUGUUGUGGGAUUGAGUGUAAUGUUAUAUGUUAAAUUGUGUGACUUGAUUUAUAUUGGUAAACUGUUGUGUUUGGGUUAUUGAAAUAUAGUAAUCCCCCAUUAACCCUUUGGGUGUUAGGUACCCUACUAAGCAAUGAGGAAAUGUUCACCCCUUCCUUUUUAUAUCUUUUUAGAUGUAGAUAUCACUUCUGAGGAUCCACAAGUGGGACAGGGAGGACUUCAGGAUGCCCCUGGAGCGAUUUAGUGGAAUGUGUUUUAUUUUUUUGUUGUGUUUGUGGUAUUGAGACCUUGUAAUAAGUGAAUUAUGGAUAAUGUAAUAAGAUCUUAAUUUGAUUAAGGGGAUUUUAAUGAAAUUUUAUUUUGGAAUGCAAUGAUAUUUAUUAAAUCUUGAUGUGUUUGAAUAAGGUUUGAAAUAUUGUUAGUUGGUGAGAACCUACUGGGACUUAUAUGUGAAAAAAAUAAAAAAAUUUCAGAGUGUUUUGGUUGACUGCCAACGUGGAAUAAGAGAAACUCUUAUGGUCAAACCUUUGACCUGGGGUCACGGGCCAAAUUUUGGGUCGCCCGGAAUUUGGGUCGUGACAUGUUGCAUAAACGCAACAAAGAGUCUGAAACGCCUCUUUUCUUGGCAGUUCGCCAUGGUAAGAAAGACGCUUUCCUUUGGCUCUAUAAAGAGUUCGAGGACGACACAGAAGCGCAUGAGUGCUG
rnacentral:lncRNA from 1 species